AGUGAACGCCGGCGGCGUGCCUAAUACAUGCAAGUCGAACGGAGAUUAAGUAGCUUGCUAUUUAAUCUUAGUGGCGCACGGGUGAGUAAUAUAUAGCUAACUUGCCCAUUACUAAGGGACAACAGUUGGAAACGACUGCUAAUACCUUAUACUCCGUAUCUAUAUAAGUAGAUACGGGAAAGUUCUUCGGUAAUGGAUAGGGCUAUAUCGUAUCAGCUAGUUGGUAAGGUAAUGGCUUACCAAGGCUAUGACGCGUAACUGGUCUGAGAGGAUGAUCAGUCACACUGGAACUGAGACACGGUCCAGACUCCUACGGGAGGCAGCAGUAGGGAAUAUUGCUCAAUGGGGGAAACCCUGAAGCAGCAACGCCGCGUGGAGGAUGACACUUUUCGGAGCGUAAACUCCUUUUCUUGGGAAAGAAUUAUGACGGUACCCAAGGAAUAAGCACCGGCUAACUCCGUG
rnacentral:rRNA from 1 species